AGCUAAAAUAAAAUGUUAUUAACAUGUUAAUUACUUUUGUUACCAACAUCAAAUAAUAACAAACAUGUUGAAAACAUUUGUUAUUAACUCCGGUGUAAACGCAGCUUAAGAUAUUUUAUCUAUGAAACUCAGAAAACAUCUUAAUGGCUCAAAUCUUAGUGUGUGUGUGCUGAUUUAUAAUAGUGAGCCUGAUAUGAAUGAAUCAUUAGCACACUUUUCUGCCUAUUGCCACACAAUGAGGAGACUUUGGAAAUAAGAAAAUACUAUAGCUCCUUAUUACUCCGUAGUGCUAUUACGUAGAAGCAUAUCUGAAAACCCGGAGUACAGAAGAAAUACGUUUUUUACUUCGUGUCCGGCGAGUUAUCCGGGAGAAACCGGGAGUUUCCCGUGUGAGUCACCAAACGCGUUCCUGAAAAUCCGAGAAAAUGUUUCGGGUCUCCUUCUGUAAUUGCAGCUUUUGUCAACAUUGCAGGACUACUGUGAGAGCGAGCACAAAUGAAGAUACUGUGCUAUCUGAAGUUUGAGGGUAAAAAGUGAUUCCCACUUAAAUAACCUUAAGCAAGCAAUUACAAAACUCCAAGUACAUGCAUUGGAAAAAUCGAAAAAUGAAGAACUGUUAAGCACUAGAAACUCACUUUCAAUCCAUUGGAACUAUAACAACUGUUCGUCACCAUAAUGGCACAAUACUCCACACAAAUAACACAAAAUUUGUAAGU